GUCAUGGUGGGCCCACUGCACUGCAUGGGGAAGAAGGUGAAAAGGCCACAAACUUUUGAACCAGAUGAUCCUGAGAUCACAUUAAGGUUCUGCCAUUAAUUAGCUAUUUGAUGUGGGCAAGCUGUUCACCUCUCUGAGCCUCAGUUUUUACAUCCGUAAAUUGGGAGCAGUAAUACCUAUUCAUUGGCCAUUGUGAGAUAAUAUGAGGGAACACCUAUCAAAAGGCCUGCACACACACCAAAAUGCACCACAUGGAAAGCAGGAGCCUACAUGCCGAAGUCAGGCUGACAUAGCCACCACUCCAGGAGAGAAAUAAGUGGGGGGAAGGGAGCAGGAAAACUUUUAUUAUGCCCUUUUCCCUAAAUUAGGAGGUCACAGGAGGGGCACCAGGGCCCUGAGUCCCAAAUCUAUGCCUCAGUGAGAAGGAAGCCCUGUGGCUUUGGCAGAAAUGACUGGCAUAUACACAGCGAGGUGGACAGGUCCUGGAGACAGACUACCUGCGUUCGGAUCUCAUACUUACCUCUUGCUGGUGGGUGCCCUGAGCAGGAUACCCAAGAGUUUUCUCACUGGAACUGGGCACGAUCACAAUAUGUGCCUCUCAGGGCUGUCAAGAGGCCAGUCUGCGCAAAGACCCUCGGAGACAGGACCAAAUGCACUCUGAAGCACAACUGUUGUCCAGGGCCCAGCUCAAGUCCAGCUCCGCAGGGAGAACCUCGAGGUAUGGGAUGGUAUCUCCUCUGCCCAUCACAAGGACAUGUACGGCUGUGGGAACGCAACAGGCAUCAAAUACUCCCAGUGGUUAGCUGGUAAGCCAACACAUUUUAAUCUGCUGUUGUCACUGUGGAUAAGCUUGAUAGAAUACAUUGAUUUUCAGAAAAUUCCCCAGAAGUGGUGACUGGAAGCCAGCAUGGAGAUAAUAAAAAUGCCAUGUGAUCCCCAGACUGGAGAGGACUCUUUGGGGACACCCAAGCCAGUGUACCCAAGGCCCAUCCCUCUGCCUCUCAGGCCAUAGCUCCCUUGGCUAUGGGGAGGCACCAUUCAGUGGCUGACUAGCUUCUCAGGCAGAGUCCCAAGAGAGAAAAGUGCAGGGUUCACUAUACCAUUUAAUAAAUUCAUUCAACAAUUACCUUCUCUCACCACACACCAAGAAAGUAACACAAGAAGUUACAUGUGUUAACUAUCUCAAUUGUGAUCAUUUCACAAUAUUUGUGUGCGCACGCGUGUGCACGCAUGUGUAUAUGUAUAUAUAUAUAUAUCAAAACAUCAGAUGCGACAUCUUAAAUACAUACUUUUUUGUCAAUUAUACCUCAAUAAAGCUAAAAAAAUAAUUUUCUACACACCUUGUUCUAGCCACUGUUUUAUACACUAGAGGUAUAGUCUUGAACAAAAUAGACAUUCUGUUAUAUUCUAGGGGCAAAGGUGAACAAAUUAAAAUCUAAUGUGUCUGGGCUGACUGAGAACUCUAAAGAAAGAGAGGGGAGUUAAGGGAAUAGUGUGUGCUGGGGGAGAAGAGUUCAGAAAGGCCACCCUGAAAAGGUGGUAUCUGAGGAGAAACCAGAAGGAAGUGAGGGAGAAGUGGGCCACUGGCAUAUCUUUAGGAAAACAUUCCAGAUAAAGAGCACAGUGAGUGCAAAGUCCUGAAGACUGGUUGUGCUCACAUGCCAGAGGAACAGCAAGGAAACCAACAUGGCUAGAGCAAAGCACCAGGGAGAGAGGGAAGAAAUGAGGUCAGAGGAGUAACAGGGGUGGGAGCAGAUGACGCAGAGCCUCGAGGACCUAGGAUUCUGCUGUGUGGGAGAUGGGAGCCUUUAGGUGGUUUGGGACGGGUGACAUAACCCAGAUUCCACUGGAGAACAAUCUCUAGCUGCUGUACUGGGGGGAGGGGGAGAGUAGCACAGGGAUUACUUAGAAGGGUAUUGCAACAGUCCAAGCAACAGAUGACAACAGCAUGGACUAAGGUGGUAAUAGGUCAUGGGUACAAUCUGAUUCUAGAUAUAUUUCAAAGUAGAGAUGGCAGGAUUUUUUGAAAGUUCCCUGGAAAUGUGCCUGACGCCAAGCAGUCCUGG
ensembl:lincRNA